rnacentral:rRNA from 1 species
ACGGAAGGCAGCAGUGAGGAAUAUUGGUCAAUGGACGGAAGUCUGAACCAGCCAAGUCGCGUGAAGGAUGAAGGUAUUAUGUAUUGUAAACUUCUUUAGCAGUGGAGUAAUAAGGGGAUCGCGAUCCCUGAUGCAAGUACACUGAGAAUAAGGAUCGGCUAACUCCGUGCCAGCAGCCGCGGUAAUACGGAGGAUCCGAGCGUUAUCCGGAUUUAUUGGGUUUAAAGGGUGCGCAGGCGGCUUUUUAAGUCAGUGGUUAAAUCGUGACGCUCAACGUCAUCACGCCAUUGAUACUGGAGAGCUUGAUUGCGGUCGAGGUUUGCGGAAUUCGUUGUGUAGCGGUGAAAUGCAUAGAUAUGACGAAGAACACCGAUUGCGUAGGCAGCAUACCAGGCCGUAAAUGACGCUCAUGCACGAAAGUGCGGGGAUCGAACAGGAUUAGAUACCCUGGUA